CGAAGGCCGCCAUCGCCGAGCUGAGCCUGGCCGCUCCGGAGGUGUUCCACGCCCUGCCACCUUGGGACGAGAAAGAGGAGACGCUGGCUCACUACGCCCACCGCUGCAGGCAGGCCAUGGACGACACCAUCAGAGCCAAGAUCAAAACCAUGAAAACCAAGGGAGACCUGCUGCCCAUAGUCAGCAAAUAACCCCAGAGACGGAAGGUGUGUCCUCGGAUGCCUGUAGGACAAACCAGACCAACACCAUCUGCGGUAGAUUACCUGCUCGGUGUUUUGACGAAUGGUGGCAAUUUUAACAUGUAGAAUCAUCAGGAAAUGAACAGAAAAUGGCGGCCGAUGUUCUGUGGUCAAAGGCGAUGUGACGGCUGUGUACGGCCUACGUUCUUCGUGUUGGUCUGUCUUGUCCUUGUGAUAAAAGCCUGGUCCACAGAUCUGAUUGUGCUGUCGUGCCAAGUUGGAAUGACGACACAAACAGGUCUGGGACCAGGCUUGCCCUCUGAUCCCCAGUGAUGCUCAACUGCCAUUUCAAAACCAGUGAAAUGUUGUUAUUGCUCCAUUCCAUUUGUCUGGCCACCCCCACUAUGACCUUAACCCAUCAGUGAUGACAGACACCAGGACUAUCAUUAAAAACACAUUGUAGUGCACAAACGUUUGAUUUACUGUAAUGUGUAACAUUUAUUUAGUCUUUUGAACGAUGUGCUAAUGCUUUGAAGUGUUUUUAGUUGUGGAGAACAACAUUGGAAAAUACUGUUCAAAUAAGGAUCUUAUUUUUGUCAAGACAUUUUCCGGUAAUUUUGGUGGUCUAUGUAAUUGUUUUUAAAGAGAUUCUCCGGUA